AGGCGGGGUAACGGCCCACCUAGUCUUCGAUGGAUAGGGGUUCUGAGAGGAAGGUCCCCCACAUUGGAACUGAGACACGGUCCAAACUCCUACGGGAGGCAGCAGUGAGGAAUAUUGGUCAAUGGACGAGAGUCUGAACCAGCCAAGUAGCGUGAAGGAUGACUGCCCUAUGGGUUGUAAACUUCUUUUAUACGGGAAUAAAGUGAGCCACGUGUGGCUUUUUGUAUGUACCGUAUGAAUAAGGAUCGGCUAACUCCGUGCCAGCAGCCGCGGUAAUACGGAGGAUCCGAGCGUUAUCCGGAUUUAUUGGGUUUAAAGGGAGCGUAGGCGGGUUGUUAAGUCAGUUGUGAAAGUUUGCGGCUCAACCGUAAAAUUGCAGUUGAUACUGGUCGUCUUGAGUGCAGUAGAGGUAGGCGGAAUUCGUGGUGUAGCGGUGAAAUGCUUAGAUAUCACGAAGAACUCCGAUUGCGAAGGCAGCUUACUGGAUUGUAACUGACGCUGAUGCUCGAAAGUGUGGGUAUCAAACAGGAUUAGAUACCCUGGUAGUCCACACGGUAAACGAUGAAUACUCGCUGUUUGCGAUAUACAGCAAGCGGCCAAGCGAAAGCGUUAAGUAUUCCACCUGGGGAGUACGCCGGCAACGGUGAAACUCAAAGGAAUUGACGGGGGCCCGCACAAGCGGAGGAACAUGUGGUUUAAUUCGAUGAUACGCGAGGAACCUUACCCGGGCUUAAAUUGCAGAUGAAUUACGGUGAAAGCCGUAAGCCGCAAGGCAUCUGUGAAGGUGCUGCAUGGUUGUCGUCAGCUCGUGCCGUGAGGUGUCGGCUUAAGUGCCAUAACGAGCGCAACCCUUGUUGUCAGUUACUAACAGGUUUCGCUGAGGACUCUGACAAGACUGCCAUCGUAAGAUGUGAGGAAGGUGGGGAUGACGUCAAAUCAGCACGGCCCUUACGUCCGGGGCUACACACGUGUUACAAUGGGGGGUACAGAGGGCCGCUACCACGCGAGUGGAUGCCAAUCCCCAAAACCUCUCUCAGUUCGGACUG
rnacentral:rRNA from 1 species